CGGCACGUGGCUCUGACCGGUGCUAAAGGGUCUCUGCCCCAACAACACCUGUCAGUAGCCGUGGGGCAGGAUCCUUUAGCACCGGUUCGUGUUACGAACCGGUGUUAAA
rnacentral:pre_miRNA from 1 species